AAAGGAUUCGGCACGUUUAGAAGAAAAGAUGGGAGCCGAGCGCUGGUUUCAAAGAGCCUUCCUUCUGCUGGAGUGGGAGGGGCAGAGGAGCGUGGGACGGAGCAGGAAAACCAGGCUGGCGAGAGGGGUGGGCUGCUUCCCGGCAACAGCGACACAAACGUAGGGACAUUUGAUCCUUGCAAGCGGGGAGCGAGGGUCGACGUGCACCUCCCACCUGCCCGCCACGCACAGAAAGGGCUACCCUUCGAAAGAGGGCAGUAGUCACACGUUUAGUCCGCUGGAACCCUACCCCCGCCCCCAGCGGUGUUUGCUCCGGAGUGAAUAGUGCACAGGUUAUGUGGGGUUCGGAUCCUACUAACUGAGCCUUGUAAGAUAUGCACCAAGAAAGGCAGCAUUGGUGAGGAACACAACUGGAUCCACAUUUCUCGCUGGAAAGGUCCUGUUUCCUCCCGGCUGAACCGACAAGAGGUAAAUUCGGUCCCCUCCACUUGGCUUCUUCGGAAUGAUCGAAUAGAACUAUAGUGGCAUCAGUCCCUUUGUAUGUAUCAGUAAGGUGCACAAAUUACAGGUAACAUUGGGUAAAUAUUUAUUAAGCGGGAGCUCUUUGAAAUCGACCAAGGAUGGUUUGAAGUCUAGGCUGCUAUCUGCUGGCGUCAGUGAUUCGUUCUGUCAUCCUCCCACAGAGAAAAAAAAAUGAACAGGGGGGGGGGGACGUGAAAUCAGAGACGACAGUCACAACCAUCUUUCUUUGCCAGCUCAGUGGCAGUUACACUGUGAUCCUCAGAUGUGAGCUGCUUUGUUCAGUGGAACUUUUUUUAAAAUAAAAAUGAGUGUACAUUGGGUACCAACAUUAAAGUACAAUCUGUAAUUAGAAAGGAUCCAGACGGUUUGAUGUAGAUUCUGCUUCCACCAUGUACACAAGCUUUUUUUCUCUUUUCUUUUGGCUUAUGAAGUCAUCCCAUCUCACCCAAACAAGCUGUCACACAUGUGGACCACCAGCUUGGUGUUAUUAUCCCCUUUGGGAAUAAUCUGGGGAGUUUUGUACUUACAACAAAGAAGAAUGGUCCAUCACCAGCUUAGAGAAUUGCUAUGGAAGGAUGGGAAAUGGGCCACAGCAUCCCAAAGCAUCUCUAAAGGAACACUUUAUUGACUAUUCCAAGAAAGACUGUAGGUGCAUUCUAGAACAGAGGGGCUUAUUAUUUCCCCCCGGCCCCAGUCUUUCUUCGUAAUGACUUGUCCUCUGGACGCUCUCUCCUCCUUGAACUUUCUUAAUUCUUGUUUCAAUAUCCUUCUUGAACAGAGGCAACUCCAGCUGAAUACAUUACCCCAAAAUUAAAUUUCUCAAAGUCUAAAUGUAACAGUCUCAGAUCUUUCUCAGAUCUUGGGGCCUUCACCAAUAUCAGUUGGUCAAGCAAAAAUGCCAUGUGUUGUGCAGGAUCAGUAUGUGUUAUCUGUCUAAUAAGCACUUUUCUUUAGAGAAUAUUGCACACACACCCAUCCUCAAACAAUAUAUAAUUGCUGGGUGGAGGGGAGGAUGCAGUUAUUCCCCGUUGGAACAAAGGGACAAGCCAUGGCAACAUGAAGGAUGUCUAGAAUAUGGUUGGUGGAAUGAGUGUCACAGGGAGCCCCAUGAGUGAUAACACAAGUACUCUUCCAUGCCCAUUAAAGAGGUUUUAUUUGUAUUAUGUAUUUAUAGCUCCUCUGUUGAACCAGGGUGCAUGCACAGAUUGUCUAAAUCAAUGGUUCUCAACCUGUGGGUCUCCAGCUGUUUUUGGACUACAACUCCCAUCAUCCCUCGCUAGCAAGACCAGUGGUCAGGGAUGAAGGGAAUCGUAGUCCGAAAACAGCUGGAGACCCAAGGUUGGAAAACACUGGUCUAAAUUAAGGGUGUAUGAAGACAACCACAAUCACAUAUCAGUUGGCCAGAAGCAUACAAGAAUUUAAUUAGGAAAAUGGGAACGUACUAGGAAGUUGCCUCAUUCCAAGUCAGACCCUUGGUCCAUUUAGCUCAGCGUUGGCUACUGGCAGUGGCUCUGCAAGGUUUCAGACAAGCCUCUUUAGUCCCUAACUGGAGAUGCUACUGCAGAUUGAACUCGGGACCUUCUCCAUGCAACACAGAUCUUUUGCCACUGAGCCACAGCCCUUCCCCAUUUAGCUUGCCGUUCUGCUCCCAACUUUCUUCUGGCAAGUUCACAAGGUCAUUAAGGCAACACCCCCUUCCUUGCUGUUUGUUGCUGGUAUCUGCUAUUCAGAGGUAUACUGCCUUUGCCUCUGGAGGCACUAUUUAGUUAUCCUGUCUAAUAACCCGGGUGAUGCCAGAGCACGCAGCCCACCUCAAGCCUGAUCCAAUGCUACAAUCCAUUCUCCAAGGGCUGGAUUGAGUCACCAAUAAAAUGAACAAGCCCUCCAAAGCUCUAGCUGAAACUGCCACCAGCCUUCAUGAGUAUUCAAUAAGUGCACAAACCACCUACAUUUUCUUCAUUGCGGAUGUUGAAAUUACAUAAUUGCUUCUCCCCGUCAUGCAUUAUAAUGUAUUAAUCCACUAGCCCCAAUUCAUUAUUUACACAACUAAUAAAAGCGUUCAGUGUUUUAAUAUAAAAUGACAAGUUUUACAAGUAAUUAUAGACACUGUUAUAAUCCUGGGAUAGCACACCAUUACUGCGAUUGAGGGCUCCACCGUGUGGCAAAAAACUGAAAUGGAUGGAAUUCAUAAGAUGUUGCAUUUAGCACUGGAGAUCGUUCAGAGUGCUGUUGCACUUUAUUUCACAAAUCCUUACAGCAGAAUCAUUAGGUUGCUGAUCAUCCUCAUACAGUGAAUAAGGGAGUAAUACUGAAAAAGCAAUGGCUUGCCUCAAGCAAGUUCUUGUCAGAGAUGGUAUUUCAACCAAGGAUGUGGUUCUGUCUUAGGCAAUGUACUUCUUUGUGUCUAUACUCAGCAGAGAGCUCCAUUGCAUUCAAGGUAUCAACUCCCAGAAAAAAUGUGCAUAGUAUAUUGUUGCCUGUCACUAUACUGAAUUGGUAUGUGUAAUCUACAUACUAUGAAAAUUAGUGUGUGUGUAUGAAUAAUUCAUAUUUAUUUUAUGAUAGACAUAUUUUUAAGGUGGCAGAUGUUCUUGUUUUAAUAUGGUUUCAAGGUAUAAAAACAAUAAUUUCUGACACUUUAUGAGGUGUCUAUGGUGUAGUAUUUAUAACAAACAUAUUAGCAAAACAUGCAUUGUACUUUUUAUAUAACCUUUAUUUACUGUAAAUAAUUGCUGUUCUCACUUUAACAGUGAGCUCUGAAGCUAUAAAUCACUUUGUUUUUUCAAAAAUAAUAAUCAAGUGGUAUCUAAAUUUUAUGAAAUAAAUAAUGUAAUUAAAUAAGUGAGGUUAUUGUUAUUCCCAUUUUACAUAUGGGGUACUAAUAGCCCAAACUGUGUGACACCAUCAUAUCUAUGACAGACGCAGGACUUGCUCCAUUACUGAAAUCAUUACUAGCUUCAUUACUGAAAUCAAAAGGAAAUACACUUCAAAUGUCAAAGUUUAUUUUAAACUGUCUAUCAAAUUAUAAUGCCUUUUUUCAGAUGAAGAAAUAUUAAAUUUUAUGGUGAAACUAGAAGACAAGCUUCCCACUUUUGAUGUUGAUGUUCAGGUAGAAGGACUGGACAAAAACUGUCUUCAUGUGGAAUGGUUCAUAACAGAUUUCACAUUUGCAUAUUCAAAGAUUAUUAAAUAUCUUCUUCCUUCCCCAUCUGGCUGUGAAUAUGGUAUUUUAAACUGACCUUUGUGGCAAAUUUCUGCUUCCCCAACAAUGUUCUUCUUACUCCACCUACAGGCCAAAAGCAAUUUUGCCAUUUGUUUCUGUUCACUCCUGUACAACAAUAUUUGAAAACAAAUGCAGGCAUUAAAUGCAUUAAGUUACAAUGAAAUGCUGCCCACCUUGUUACUAAUAAAAAUGGACUGGAAACCGAGAUGAAAGGAAGAAGACCCUAGGACCAGUUAUAAUUCUGCUGGGUUCCGUUCUCAUUCCCUCCCACCAGCAGAUGCAAUGUUCUGAAGGUGGAAUAUGGAAAUGCAGGUGUCUUCCCUUGAGGCAGGAGCAGCCCUCCUCCUAGAACGCUGCCCACAAUUUUGCAUGCCAACCCAUCAGGAACCUGUUUUCACUGCCUCCCUGGGACUGCAAUGACAGAAGGGUCAUCAAACACCUGGCAGGCCAUGCUUGAUGGACCAUGUUCAGAUUGAUGGUUCUCAACUUCUGCAAGCCUGCCCUCAAGGAAGAAAUAUGCAUUUGACCUGCUUCGUAUUGUGAAUGUUUCAGUGACAGAGUGGGAAAUAUAUUUUUCCUCUCCCUUGGGUUUUUUUUAAAAAUAAGGUAAUGUCAGAUACCACAUCAUUCAACCUCUAGGUUGUAGAAUUAGCAGGCCCUUAGCCAUUGCCCUGCCAGUCUCUGAAGACUUAGACUGAAGCCAUACAUCUGGGCUGAGGGACCUGUGGCUGAAACCAACAUCUGGAAGGCCACAGGUUUCCUGCUAAAUCUGAAACCUUGGUGAAGAAGAAGAGUUUGGAUUUGAUAUCUCGCUUUAUCACUACCCUAAGGAGUCUCAAAGUGGCUAACAAUCUCCUUUCCCUUCCUCCCCCACAACAAACACUCUGUGAGGUGAUUGGGGCUGAGAGACUUCAGAGAAGUGUGACUAGCCCAAGGUCACCCAGCAGCUGCAUGUGGAGGAUCAGGGAAUCGAACCCGGUUCACCAGAUUACGAGUCCACUACUCUUAACCACUACACCACACUGGCUCUCUAGUGAGAAGUUCUGAGCCUCCUGAUAGAAACUGGGAAGUCAAAGUCACAGGAAUAUAGGAAGCCACCUCCUGCUUUCUCAGUCUGGAGAGCUUGAGUUAAGUCAGUUACUGACACACCUCUUUGGCUGAGGGCUUUUCCUGAAAUUGAUUGCUGCCCAGAUUCCUUCUUCAUGCUUCAUAUCUUGCUUUACAGUUGCCAUCUUUUUAUUCUGGCUGGGCAUUCUUGCCCAAAACCCAACAUGCAUCCCCAUCAUUGCAUCCAUGUGCAGAGGAAGACCUUCAUCUGCUGCAGUUCUGCUAGUAAAGAUCCAGUGACACUGCUGGAAAGGAAGAAGGGGACACUAUAUCUGCCAUAUAUAUGCCUUUGAGUCCAUUAGUCCCUGCCUCAUUCUCUGUGAUUUAGUUUCACAAAUUCAGCCAACCGGGUUGCUGCAUUCCUUCAGUCAAUCAAGUUCACUUUAGUCCUAUUGAUACAUUGGAGACAUGCAGCCUGAUCCUCUGCUUUAUAUUGACUUAGAAGUACAUCCCGUGGAAUUCAAUGGUGCUUACUCCCCAGUCAGUGCACAUACAAUUUCAGCCUAAGUGCCCUGGAGUGGGUGAGUAUAAAAUGGGGAUGAGAAACUUGUGGCCCUCUAGAUCAGCCUUUCUCAAGCUGUGGGUCCCCAGAUGUUGUUGGGCUACAACUCCCAUCAUCCCUGAGCUCUGGCCUUGCUAGCUAGGGGUGAUGGGAGUUGUAGUUCAACAACAUCUGGGGACCCACAGGUUGAGAAAGGCUGCUCUAGAUGUUGUUGGCCUCCAACUUCCACCAGCCCCAGUCAGCUGUAGUCCAGCAACAUCUGGAAGCCAACAGGCUCCCCAUAAUUUAGGAGUAUAAAUUUAUUCUGUGAAUCGCCCUGAUUUAUUCUGUGAACCACCCUGAGACCUGUGGGUAUAGAGCGGAAUAUAAAUAAAAUAUAUAACUCCGGUCUAAAUAUCUGGAGUCUGCUCUACAGGCAUAAGUUUCCUGCAUGAUUUAGGAACAUUAUAAAUUGCAUAGGGAACCUAUGCCUGUACAGAAGCUCCCCUCAUCUGCUGCAAUCUUUAGACCUCCUCUCCCAAUGGAGCUAUGUGGAAGUGGUGCUAAUUGGUGUGAAUUCUGUGAGCUGAAAAUGCCAGAAUAGGGUUCUAUCAAAUCUAGGGUUGAGAGAGAGAGCUUUUGAGACACUGAAUGCCCACAUCCCAGAAGUUCCAUUUUGUCACUUAAAUGCUAUAUGGCUUGAUAGAAAUGUUAUUAUUUAAUUUUUUAUUUCUUUCGAAAAAAGUUUGUUUUAGGAUACCAUGUGAUCUAUGUACGUGACCAUCUAAUUGCCACCAAUUUGACAGAGUGGGCUUCAACUCCCCACAACCAAAUGUGUGGAUACUAAUUGUAAAGGUUUAGGAUUGUACCACUGUAGGUGGACAUGUUGUCCCUUUAACAUCUGGAAUUUCAAGGUGGCUCCACCAAUAGGAAUAAGGGAUGUAGAUCAUCCCUUCCUCACACCUGAAACUCACCCCACCCCAUUUCCGUAAAUCUUUACCCACAUCAUGAUCUCACAGAAGCCUUGUGUUACUCUACCAACUCACAACAGAUGCUGCUGGCUGGACAAGAAAGAUGCACAUCAAGGAGUCAAGGCCAUUUGCAGCUGCCAUCUCUUGUUUCUUCCUCUGACCUGCUAUUGAAAACACUCCUGGCACCUGGAUAAACAUUGCUCCUGCUUAUAUUGCCAACAGUCACAGUUCUUAUCACAUCAGAUUCUUCUUUGGUGGUGCACAGCUAUUUAAUAUUUAUCCAAUGCUAGCAGUGUGCCGAGUGCCAAUAGUCCUUUUUCUUCUUCUUCUCCAGAUUCUUUUUACUGGGCAAUGAUAUGCUAAAAUCUGGCUUUUUAUCCCUUGAAACUGCACAGUGUUAACAGGGACAAUCAGAUAUUCCAUUGAUGGUGCUGAUUGUCAAAAACCCGCAGUUCCAGAUAGGAACAGCCCCAUUAUCCCGAAUAGCUGCUUCUUAUUCAGUAGGAACCAGGGUGGUGUUUCAACAGGAAGGAGCCCAAAGGCUGACACAGGCUAGCAUCCGAGAGCAAAUCAUUAUGUGCCGGGAAAGGGAAUCAAGGAUAUGAAUUUAAAUUUAGAGAUCGUGGUUUUACUAGUAAUACAUUUUCAAGGAAGUCUAUUUCUCUCUGAGGCUAAAUUAUGCUUCUAAACGAGCAAACCUUUAGGCAGGGAAAUCCUCUCAGUGAAGAACCCUGGCCACUGAUAUACAAACAGCAACGCUAAACAUAAAGAUUUAUGUGCUAUUGCUUACAGCAUAAGCAAAGAGGCCAGUGGCAUGCAAAACUGAUUGAAUCCCCUUAAGCGAAAGCAAAAGAGAUGGGGUGGUAGUGGAAUGCAAUUAAGAGUGAAAUGCAUCAAUACUGGAAUGCAAAAGGUGGGUCUUAAUAGAGUUGUCACUUGAUUACAAAAUAUUGUACAGCUCAGUUGUGUGCAUGUCUAUCCAGAGGUUCGCUUGAGUUCAGUGGGCUUUAUUCCUAGGAAAGCAAGCGUAAGAUUGAAGUCUAAGGUCACCUCCAGAUUAUCAGUAUUUUGCCAGAGCGUUUCAAACACAUACCAGAAACGCAGGUUUGUGCAAUUUAAGUUGAUUAAAAUGUUUUUUCACCCUGGUGCAACAAAUCCACUUUUAAAAUACCUUUUGUGUUUAGGAGAGUUAUGUGAAAAUGUACUGCUAAACAAAUAUUAACAGGAAUACUUAUUAUUUACUUAUUUUAUUUAUUUACUUAUCUGGAGAGAAGCAACACGAGACCGGGCCUUUUUGGUGGGGGCUCCUCAUUGGUGGAAUGUUCUCUCCAGGGAGGCUCACUUGGCACCAUCAUUAUAUGUUUUUAGGCACCAGAAUGCAGUGGGUCCCAAGUUCAAUUCCUGGCAUCUCCAGGUAGGACUGGAAGAGACUCCUGGUCUGAAGCCCUGAAGAACCACUGUCAGUCAUUGUUGACAGUACUGAGCUAAAAUGGAAUGAUGGUCAGAUUCUGUAUAAGGCAGUUUCCUAUGUUCCUGUGCUAGGGUCUCAAUCCAUAGAAAUUCUGGCUACUUAGAAAAAUAAACAAAAACAUUGCCCUUAAAAUCAGAGCUACAUGACAUGAAAUUUGGCCCUGAAAUUUGGAUUCUGAUACAAAACCUCCUGCAGAAAACAACUGCACAAAGACCUGACCGAAGGCAACCAGUUAACGCUGAAAUUUCACUUUCUGUCUGGGACUCAUUGGCUAUUAAACAUGUGUAGCAUCUAUCUGUGUAGCCUAACACCAUGCUUCUGCCUUUUUUUUGGUUUGAUUUUUGGAUUAUUUUCAUGUGUGUUUCUUCUCUUGGAGUAUCUGAACACCAUCAUGGCAAACUUCUGUGUGAUUCAUUGGUGGCCCUGAUUCAUCACUUGCGAAUUACUGUUUUAGAACAGCGUGUGUUAGCACAGACCUUGCCAUGGCUGGAAUACAAGGAGAUGCCAAGUAUUUAAGGGCACGCUCGUUUCCUUUCUCCAGCUCCUGUGCCUACCCAUGUCUGUUUUCCAGAUGGAAAAAGAAGAGAAUACAAAGGACUGAGUUUUACAGCUGCAGAUCUGCAGUACCUGUGUAUUCCGGGUGCAUCCAUUGUUCAGCUAAUGCAACAACUGACAUUCUGAUCAUGCUACAAAUAAACCCUGGUGGCAGAUAUUCUUUC